rnacentral:sRNA from 1 species
GCUAGGUGUGGUGAUGCACGCCUGUAAUCCCAGCAGCUUGGGAGGCUGAGGCAGGAGGAUCUCAAGUUCAAAGCCAGUUUCAGCAACUCAGCAAGGCCCUAAGCAACUCAGUGAGACCCCAUCUCUA